AUAUUUGUGAUUUUAAAUAAAAAUAUAUUUAAUGUAAGUAUUUUGAACGAAAAUAUUCGCAAAAUAGGUAUUUUGACCCAUUUUUCUCUUACACCUCUAAAUGGUUUAAUAAUUUGUUGCUAGUUCACUUCAGUCCAAUUACUCCAACCAUUUUGUGCCACAUUUGAUAAGGAGGUAAAAUGAUCUAAAUUAGCCGAAUUGUGGGUGUUUUUAUCUAAAACCAUAAACGUAUCCUUAAUUGAUAUUUUAUGUCAAAUUAAGGGGGCAAAAUGAACCUCUAUUGGAUGUUUUAUGGCAAGUUGAGGGGGUGAAUUGGUCCUUUAUUAAAAUGAAAUUAUUGGGUAAGUAGUCGGCGAGUCGCUGAUAAAAACAUAAUUGCAAUCCGUUGUCGCCCUCAUCGAGGUGGAUCGUGAAGAUGACGAGAGGGAAACAAAAGAUCGAAGCCCAAAAAAAGAACGCGGAGAAGAACCAGAAGGCCAAAGGGUCUCAAUUCGAUGCUCGAGCUGUUGCUCUCAAAGUCAUCUGUGCCAUCUGCAAGGCGCAGCUAGCAAAUCAUAAUCAGCUUGGUGAUCAUUAUGCCGCCAAACAUCCAAAAGAAAAGCCUCCGACAGAGUCGAGUUGAUAUGUUUGUCUCUUGUAAAAAUGGAAAAGAUUGAGAAAAAAAUGAAAGAAAAUCUUGCCUUGUGUACUCAAUACUGAUUAAUGUAUGUGAACUGAUGAAGGUGAUGAUGGAUUACCUAUUUUCAGUAUCUUAA